CGAGGGAUUAUCAUGGAGGAUAGUGAUCGAUCCAUUUAGAUCGGUGUAUGGAUCGCUUUCCUUCCAGAUAGAUGAGUCUCAAAUCUGCAGUGUAGAGACACUGGGAUGAAAGUGCAGGUGGUUAUUAUAGAAUAACUUACAGUGAGCGUGACUAACACGAGAAAUUACUUGGAUAUCUACUCACUCGUCAAUGGUUUACUUGAUGCUACAGUGGUGUGAGUGAUCUUUUGACCUGCAGUAUCUCAACUAUUUGCAGUGAGGCUACUAUAGUUUGAUUACACAUAAACUUGAAUUUUUAGCCAUUUCGAUCCUUACGGUGUAUGUUGACUAUAGUGGGUUCAGAUUUACUGCUAGAAGUAGGAUGCAACU
rnacentral:lncRNA from 1 species